rnacentral:rRNA from 1 species
AAUGAACGUUGGCGGCGUGGAUUAGGCAUGCAAGUCGAGCGAGAAUCGUAGCAAUACGAGGACAGCGGCGAAAGGGAGAGGAAUACGUAGAAAUCUACCCCUGAGACCGGGAUAGCGUCGGGAAACUGGCAGUAAUACCGGAUAAUGUCUUAGGACCAAAGGUGUGAUUCCACUUGGGGAUGAGUCUACGCCCUAUUAGCUAGUUGGUGGGGUAAUGGCCUACCAAGGCGAUGAUGGGUAGCGGGUGUGAGAGCAUGACCCGCCUCACUGGGACUGAGAACUGCCCAGCCACCUACGGGUGGCUGCAGUCGAGAAUCUUCGUCAAUGGACGAAAGUCUGAACAAGCGACGCCGCGUGCGGGAUGAAGGCCUUCGGGUUGUAAACCGCUGUCGUAGGGGAACAAAUGUACGGGGGUACUCCCCUGUAUUUGAGUGAUCCUAGGAGGAAGGAGAGGCUAAGCUCGUGCCAGCCGCCGCCGUAA